CCUCAUACCUGCAAUUCCGUAGCUGGGGAAGCAAAAAACAGAAAUUUGGUCUCUGGUAGUGGGUCCACUUCCACCCCAUUUCAGACUCUACAGACCAAGCUUGCCUGCAGCCUGUACCUCCAAAAUGUGGAGGUGGGGAGGUCUAAGAAAGAGGGGGAUCACUUGCAAAUAUAAGGAAAUCAGACGCACCCGGUGCUACAGAAAUGGGCCAGGAGAAAACUCAGCAUUUUGACUGGGAUUUUGUUCCAACCAAGCAACUCUCUUCUACUUUCGUUGUGUACGGUUGGCACCAGAUGAAAACCAAAGGAAGAGGGACAAGAAAUUAAGACGUGUUUAUCUUAAGACGAGAGAGACAAAGUCAGAUCUCUUGAAGACAACCAUAUCUGCUUAAUGCCAUAUGCAAUAGAAAACUCUUCAAAGAACUACAGGGGGCCGGGCGCAGUGACUUAUGCCUGCAAUCCCAGCACUUUGGGAGGCUGAGGUGGGCAGAUCACUUGAGAUCAGGAGCUCAAGACCAGCCUGACCAACAUGGUGAAAUCUGUCUCUACUAAAAUACAAGAAUUAGCUGGGUGUGGUGGCUCACGCCUGUAAUCCCAGCUACUCGGGAGGCUGAGGCAGGAGAAUCGCUUGAACCUGGGAGGCAGAGGUUGCAGUGAGCCAAGAUCACACCACUGCACUCCAGUCUGGGGGACAGAGCAAGACUCUGUCUCAAAAAAUAAAUAAAUAAAUAAAUAAAAGAAAUAUAGGGGAACAACCCAGCAUCAGCCCACAUGAAACUAUUAGGUUAGCUGCUAUAACAAAUAAACCACCAAGUUUUAACAGCUUAACACCUUAAGAACUGAGCUAUCUACGUAACAGUCCAAAGCUGUUAUUUCUGAUUGGUGGGUAGUUUUGCCCAUAUGGUGAUUAAGGGACCUGUUCCCUCCACCCGUGGCUCACCAGCCCCUAGACCUCAAAGGUUUCCGCAUUCACUGGCAGACAGGAAAUGACAAUAGAAGAAGCCCAGCCUGUAUCUUAAAAGCCCUGACCCAGAAGUUAGUGGCAUUCCAUCUGGUCUCAUUCAGUUGGUGAGAAGAGUCUUAUGGCUACCCCUAGAGAGAAAAUAGAAGAUAAAGUCCCUGACUGGACAUCUCCUCCCAGCAACAACUCCACACUAUGCAAAGCAGAAUACAAACUUUCAGUGGAUUGACAUUCAUCUCUACCAAAGAGCUCUUUUCUAAUUCACAUGAAGGUGAUUUCCUCCUUGCUAAAGCCCUGGAAAUCUAAAUUGGAAAGAAAGUUAGAAAUCUACUGUGACAUGCUACAAAUGCAGAUGUGCCACAAACACCACAGAAUGGUCAUCCAGCCAGUGCCAGAUCAUCAUGAGAAAGUUUUGUUAGAAAAGUUUUCCUUUCAUAGUCCCAGACUCUCCACCAUCAUGUCUUCUCUCCACUGCAAAGUGCAUCAUUUGUCAUGGUUCCCGAAGGAUUAAGACCCCUGCCAAAUGAAUACAAUACUCCAGACGCAUGACUGGAUAUCCCAUUUGGUGUCAUCUUUUCUAAGUUACACUAAUGGGGCUCACAGCUUUUCCUUCACCUUUGUUUUCUCCUUUUUCCUAGAUUUUAAUUUCUUUAUUCACACUUUCCAAACCAACUGAUAUCUUUAGCCUUAAUCUGUCUGCUCUCAUUGUUAUUUAAAUUCCUGCCAGUCACUUUCUGGCCCAUCACCAAAUUAACAUUCUUGCAAGGGCUGUUCAGAAAGUAAAUUUACAAGGUGUUUUUAGAAAACUGAUUUUAAGAGAUGGCAAGUAAUCCCUAUAAGUAUUUAAACAGCAGCUGAUUGCUAUGUUUCCACAUAAUCCAACAGAUUCACACAUUUUUUAGACCACAGGGCCAGCUUUUUAUGCCAGCUGAGUAAAAGUUGCAGGGUCUUUGGUUAUUAAAUCAACUUAAUAUCAUAUCAGUGAACACACGCUUUAUUGAGUCUCGGGGUUGUUGCAAAUAAUGUCUCCAAGAGACAGAAUGAGUUUUGCUUGAAACUGGGGCACUGAUACUUUCCCACUUCGAGUAUUGAUUUGUUUAGUGAUUUGUCCUCUGUGUGGUUCCAGGUCCUUAGGUUACAUCUCCUUAUUCACUGCUAUUCUACUUUCUCCCCAGAACUGGACGUGUCAUUCUAAUACAUUUUCAAUUAAAAAUGUCUUUGACAUAAAUUUAAACAAGUUAACUGUGAAAUUCUGCAGCAGACUCUACUUUUUUUCAUUUAAAAAAUGGAAACACAUGUUAUAAAAGAACAUUUAAUGACAUGGAAAAAUAUUCAAGAUAUAUUGGUAAAGGAAAAAAGCAGAUUUCUAAAGCACAAACACAAGAUGAAUCCAUAUUCGAAAAAUAGAAUACAGUAUGUGUGCACAUGUGCACAUAUAUGCUUGUAUAGGAAAAUCUGAGAAAGAUUUUCUUCAGGUUAUCAGGUCCUCUCUUUUACAUUUUCUAAAGAUCACUUUCGUCCUUCUUCUUUCUCAGCUAUAUUUUCUACAUUUUCUGUAAUGAACACUACAACUUUAAUAAAAACAAAACUUAAUGUUACUUAUCUUUAAUGUAAUAAAAAUGGAAGCAUAACUCUAAACAAUUAAACAUGAUACCACAUGUCCAGAAAAAGUCCUCUUUGUUUUGAGACAGAGGCUCAGUCUUCUUUUUUUUUUUUUUUUUGAGACAGAGUCUCGCUCUGUCACCCAGGCUGGAGUGCAGUGGUGCAAUCUCCGCUCACUACAAGCUCCGCCUCCCGGGUUCACACCAUUCUACUGCCUCAGCCUCCUGAGUAGAUGGGACUACAGGCACCCACUACCAUGCCUGGCUAAUGUUUUGUAUUUUUAGUACAGACAGGGUUUCACUGUGUUAGCGAGGAUGGUCUCGAUCUCCUGACCUCGUGAUCUGCCGGCCUUGGCCUCUGAAAGUGCUGGGAUUACAGGUUUGAGCCACCGCGCCUGGCCCUCACACUUCUUGCUCUGUCACCCAGGCUGGAGUGCAGUGGCACCAUCUCAGCUCACUGUAACCUCUGCUUCCUGGGUUCAAGUGAUUCUCCUUCCUCAGCCUCCAAAAUAGCUGGGACUACAGGCACACACCACUAUGCCUGGCUAAUUUUUUGUACUUUUAGUAGAGAUGGGUUUCACCAUGUUGGCCAGGCUGGUCUCAAACUCCUGACCUCAGGUAAUCCACCUGCCUCAGCCUCUCAAAAUGCUGGGAUUAUAGGCAUGAGCCACCAUGUCCAGCGAAAAAUUCCGUUUCUAUAGUCACGAUCCACAGUACUUUCUCUGUGCCUUUAGUGCCUAAAGAAACAUUGUUAUGGACUAAAUGUUUGUCUCCUCCCAAAGAUCCAACCCCCAGUGUGACUGUAUUUGGAGACAGAGCCUUUAUGAAGGUAAUUAAAGUUAAAAGAGGUCACGGGGUGGAGCCCUGAUCCAAUAGAUUUAGCGUCCUUGUAAGAAGAGACACGAAAGAGCAAGCUCUCUCUCCAUCUUGUGAGGACACAGUGAGAAGGUGGCCAUCUGCAAACCAGAAAGUAAGUGCUCCCUCACCAGGAACUGAACUGGCCUACACCUUGAUCUUGGACUUCCCAGCCUCCAGAACUGUGAGGAAAUACAUUUCGGUUGGUAAAUUUUUAUGGUAUUUUGUAAUAGCAGCCUGAUCUGACUAAUACAAACAUCAUGGCCCAACAAAAUUGUCUUUAUUACUGUGCAUUGGUAAUUAACCUCAUCGUUGAGCUUUUGAGCAAUUGCACCAUUGAUACCCCUGUUCACUGUUAUCAAGAUGUGGAAGAAGAGACAGUGCUUUUUCACUGACUUCCAAAUGUUCCAGAGCUACUUUUCCUUCUAGGCAUUUUUUAUUCUUCUCUACACCCUGCUGAUGACACUGCCUGUUCAUCUUUGGGGCCAAAGUGGUUCACACACACUCAGUCAAGAAUGCAGUAUGCACUUAGUAAAUAUGGACAGAGCUAAUGACACACACGUGGUGGGGAUGGCAGGGAAAUUUUUUGGUGCAUAAUUGACAUAGAGUCAGAAGUCAGAAAGGCAGAUGGAAAUAAAGAAAGGAGUGUGGAAGGGACUUGAUGAGAACAUCUUAAUCUAUGAAACCCAAAGAUAUUUGCUGUAGGCCUAGAAUGUAAAUUCAAAUUAAAUCAAGCACAACAACUCAAAGCAAAAACUCCUCAUAAACAAUCUCCCACUGACUUCAAAGGUAGAUUUGGGCCACAGGGCAGAGAGGAAAAGAGGUUAUGGAAUGUACCAGAAGCUUUGCAUUUGUCUACUGCAGAGUAGAAUUAAACCCUGGAGGUUACUGACAUCCCCCUGGGUCUUCGUGAUCCCAUAGGACAGGUUGGACAGUCCUCCACUGUCCAAAUGUUAGCGUCCCUCUGAAUGCUCAUUUUAAUUGGAAUCUCUGGGUACAUGCGCUCCUCUAGUUCAAGGGCUCUGGGUGCAUAAGUGGAAACAAAGCUUGCUACAGAACGUACCUCCCUCCCUCUUGGUUCAGGAACAUAUUUCAAAAUGCCACUUUAUUAGCAGCUAAACAAAAACACCUCUUCGACAGGGAUGAGGGAGCGUGGAGUAAACAUGUCAUCCCUACCUAUUGUUCUGCAGAGUCGAAAUUCUCCUAAGAUUGAUUAUAAAAGGCAGUUAUAGAGGAAACUGUUUGAGUCUGCUGAAUUAAAAACAAACAGUGAGGCAUUCAACGACGAACAGAUCUGAUGGAUUAAAAUGCACCGAAGAAAGACAUCUCAAGCGAUGCCUGAAUAGGCCAAGUCAGAAUGAGAGGAAAUUUGGCCUGCAAUUUCCAAUCAAGGGAAAACUGGCAAAGCAACAGAAUUUGAGGCUUCCUCAGAUUUACACUUUAUCUGCUAAUUAGCAUUAACAUGCGUGGUAGAGGUAUCUCACCAGCUUGUGGCACAAUAAAAAACGGAAUGUGUUAUCACCACAGAAUGUGUAAUUACUUUAAGCACUGGCUGAAAAUUGCAGGGUACUUCAUUUCAGAAUUUGUAUAUAUUUAUUGUUAGAGAUAAACUUGUUGAAGUAUAUCUAAUCUAAUUUUAUGUUAUAAUUCCUGUUUAAGAUAAUUUUAGUGUCAGCAAGCCAAGAACUGAAGUAAAUACUGCCGUAAAUUGUAAUACAUUAAAAUACCAGAGAAAUACUUCCAUUCAGCCGUGACUUGAUUUGCUUAUUGUUUAAGGACAAAAAAUAAAAAAUUCUCAGAUUACAUCAACAUUGGAAAUAUAUACUGUUGGGUUGCCCCUACCAUGCAGGCCAUGCAGCUGAUGAAGUUUGCUAACCUUGACUCGCCCAGUUCCCUGGAAGUGUGAAUCACUUUUAAAAGAAUUGUAGAUUUCCGUUUCCCUUAGGUAAGAUUUAUUAUUUUUGUAAAAAUCUCCUUAAAUUGCUCUGUAUGUUCCCACAAGGGAAAUGCAUUAGGACAGAUUAUUUGGCUUUAAAUCAUAACUAGGUUAAUAUUUGUUGUGAGUUUGAUUUAAGACCUUGUUUAAAUUCCUCCUUAAAUUGUUAAGCAAGACAAUUUGGGGCUAUGAAAAGGAAACUAUACUGUGUUUUUCAGUAAUAUGAUAUUAUGGCACAGACUACCAAAUCAUGCAAAAGCAAUUUCUGAUUUUUCUACUAAUAGGGGAUUAUAGCUAAAGCAUUGUCGGCAUACAGACUGUGUAUUCUUUUAGCAACCUUCUAUCAAGCCUGCAAAACUUGGAAAAAUGUGGAGAUAAUGCUGCCUCCGAGGAGGGAAUGCUGGAUCUAACACUAUUUUUGUUUGGUAACUAUCAAUUUCUCUGCCUUUUUAUGCCCUUGUUUCACCAGGAGAGAGAAGAGAGAGGGGGGAAAAAAGGAUAUACAAGGAUGCAUGGUUCACAAUGCCAAUGCCUG
rnacentral:lncRNA from 1 species